UAAAGGAAAAGUCAUUCUCAGAACAGCUUUUAUUUAGUUUCAGAUUUGCAAAGGGAGACGUGACAUCAAGUUUGGAAGAAAGCUGAAUUACUGGGACUAACAGAGUGAAAAGAAUAUGGACUUUCAAGGAAUGGGGAAUAGGAAGGCCAGAAAAAUUUCCUUACUCCUUCUUCAAAGAUGAUGAAAUACAAAAUGACCCCAAAUGAAGCGGAUAGAACAAUCAGUGUUACAAGGUGUUAAAGUGUUCUUUCUUUUAAGAAACAAUGGUGACUAUGAUGACAGGAGUGGACACUGCAGUUUCCAGCGUUCUGUGACCUGUAAUAGUGCGACAGACUGAAUGCAGAAGCACAUAAACGAAUCCAGCUCUGUGAUUAAGCCAAGACAUUAAAGAGAUCUUCAAAAUG
rnacentral:lncRNA from 1 species